CCUACGGGUGGCAGCAGUAGGGAAUAUUGCUCAAUGGGGGAAACCCUGAAGCAGCAACGCCGCGUGGAGGAUGAAGGUUUUCGGAUUGUAAACUCCUUUUGUUAGGGAACAAAGGCGGGGACUAGUCCCCGGAUGAGGGUACCUGAAGAAAAAGCAUCGGCUAACUCCGUGCCAGCAGCCGCGGUAAUACGGAGGAUGCGAGCGUUAUCCGGAUUUAUUGGGUUUAAAGGGUGCGCAGGCGGCCUGUUAAGUCAGCGGUAAAAGCCCGGGGCUCAACCCCGGCGAGCCGUUGAAACUGGCGGGCUGGAGUUGGAGAGAGGUACGCUGAAUGCGCGGUGUAGCGGUGAAAUGCUUAGAUAUCGCGCAGAACCCCGAUUGCGAAGGCAUCUCACGAAUCCGCGAUUGACGCUGAUGCACGAAAGCGUGGGUAUCAAACAGGAUUAGAUACCCCAGUAGUC
rnacentral:rRNA from 1 species